rnacentral:rRNA from 1 species
AUUGAAUGCUGGCGGCAGGCUUAACACAUGCAAGUCGAGCGGGGUGAUGGUGCUUGCACUAUCACUUAGCGGCGGACGGGUGAGUAAUGCUUAGGAAUCUGCCUAUUAGUGGGGGACAACAUCUCGAAAGGGAUGCUAAUACCGCAUACGUCCUACGGGAGAAAGCAGGGGAUCACUUGUGACCUUGCGCUAAUAGAUGAGCCUAAGUCGGAUUAGCUAGUUGGUGGGGUAAAGGCCUACCAAGGCGACGAUCUGUAGCGGGUCUGAGAGGAUGAUCCGCCACACUGGGACUGAGACACGGCCCAGACUCCUACGGGAGGCAGCAGUGGGGAAUAUUGGACAAUGGGGGGAACCCUGAUCCAGCCAUGCCGCGUGUGUGAAGAAGGCCUUAUGGUUGUAAAGCACUUUAAGCGAGGAGGAGGCUCUUUUGGUUAAUACCCAAGAUGAGUGGACGUUACUCGCAGAAUAAGCACCGGCUAACUCUGUGCCAGCCGCCGCGUUAA